rnacentral:rRNA from 1 species
AGUGAACGCUGGCGGCAGGCCUAACACAUGCAAGUCGAACGGCAGCACGGCAGUAGCAAUACUGUGGGUGGCGAGUGGCGGACGGUGAGGAAUACAUCGGGAUCUACCCUGUUGUGGGGGAGUAACGUAGGGAAACUUACGCUAAUACCGCAUAAGAACUGAGGUUGAAAGCGGCGGACCGCAAGGCGUCGCGCGAUUGGAUGAACCGAUGUCCGAUUAGCUAGUUGGCGGGGUAAAGGCCCACCAAGGCGACGAUCGGUAGCUGGUCUGAGAGGACGACCAGCCACACUGGAACUGAGACACGGUCCAGACUCCUACGGGAGGCAGCAGUGGGGAAUAUUGGACAAUGGGCGCAAGCCUGAUCCAGCCAUGCCGCGUGGGUGAAGAAGGCCUCGGUUGUAAGCCUUGUUCCGGAAGAAAGACAUUCGGUUAAUACCCGGUGUUCUGACGGUACCGGAAGAAUAAGCACCGGCUAACUUCGUGCCAGCAGCCGCGGUAA